GAGUUCCCAAGAAGUGCCUGGUGGAUUUCAACUGCCGACCUUUUGGUUAGCAGCUGUAGUUCUUAACAACUAGGCCACCAAGGUUUCCAGAGAAAUGGAUACACAUCAAAAAUCACUCCGGUCAAUAUUUUUGAUCCUUAAAUUUUUUUCUGUUGAGAAAAACAAUGGAAAAAUUUAAAAACUAUCAAAAAUCAAGUUGCCCUCUUCACCUAAUGACCAGUAGGAAGUUUCCCCAACCAAAAACUUUGUACACAAUCAUGUAACCUAGUCUGUGUGAAACUCAGUUUCUCAUAUCAGAACAGUACCCACUUCCUCUUCUUUCAAAAUCCUAAAGGUAGCCCUCAAUUGCGGUUCUAUUCAUAUCAUGCCUUAGACUCUGUACUAUUUCUCCUCUUCUGAAUAGGAUUUGGGUUUCAUUUCAAAGCCCAUUUAGAAUGGGAAUGCCGACACCACGAAGCAUGCACAGAUUGAAAUCACAUCCUUCAACUGACCCCCCCCACCCACAAAUAUAGGCAUGGGAGGGCUAAUGGCAAGAAAUUCCUGGUACCAAACCCAACCCCCUGACGCCUUUGGAAACAAAAAACUCCCCAGCCCCCUUAGUCAGCAAGCACAUGGCCUUAAGGUCACUAGACCCCACGUGCUUCUUGUAUGUGCAGACAAUAAACUUGCCACUUUCUGUUUCCGUUGCAAUCAGUGUCCGUCUUAUUUCAAUCGGCUAAUAAGACAGGACAAGACCCGAGUGGCGUUCGGUUACAAAUUCUGGCGACUUCCGCCGCGACAGCUGACUGCGAAACCUGGGCGGUAUAAUCCAUACUGAAGGCUGUCAACUUUGACUUUCAUCGGUGUGGAAAAAUCUGGAAUGAUACGCAGGAAACUAAGAAUAAUGUUAACCUAUGGAAACAUGUUGAGACCUGGUGCUGUCAAGUUGGUUCCAACUCACAGCGACCCUAUGCACAACAGAAGGAAACACUGCCCGGUCCUGCGCCAUCCUUAAAAUCAUUGUUAUGCUUGAGCUCAUUAUUGCAGCCACUGUGUCAAUCCACUUCACCGAGGGUCUUCCGCUUUUCUCCUGACCCUGUACGUUGCCAAGCACAAUGUCCUUCUCCAGGGACUGAUCACUCCUGACAACGCGUCCAAAGUACGAAAGACGCGGUCUCACGAUCCUUGCUUCUAAGGAGCAUUCUGGUUAUACUUCUUCCAAAACAGAUUUGUUCGUUCUUUUGGCAGCCCACAGUAUAUUCAAUAUUCUUGGCCAACACUACAAUUCAAAGGCGUCAAUUCUUUUUUUUUUAAUACUUUUUAUUGAGCUUUAAGUGAACGCUUACAAAUCAAGUCAGUCUGUCACAUGUAAGCUUAUAUACACCUUACUCCAUACUCCCACCUACUCUCUCCCUAACGAGUCAGCCCUUCCAGUCUCUCCUUUCGUGACAAUUUUGCCAGUUUCUAACCCUCUCUACCCUCCUAUCUCCCCUCCAGACAGGAAAUGCCAACACUGUCUCAAGUGUCCACCUGAUACAAGUAGCUCACUCUUCAUCAGCAUCUCUCUCCUACCCACUGUCCAGUCCCUUCCAUGUCUGAUGGGUUGUCUUCGGGAAUGGUUCCUGUCCUGGGCCAACAGAAGGUUUGGGGACCAUGACUGCCGGGAUUCCUCUAG